ACGUGAAACCGUUCAGGGGUAACCUGAGAACCCGAAAGGUCGAAUGGGGAGAUUCAUUCGCGAACCGAGCGUUGGCGUGAUGUGUCGGUGUGACGGUGACGUUCGCGUCGAUCCGCGCCCUUCGCGUUACGAGCCGACUUCGGACGCGUGCACUUCUCCCCUAGUAGGACGUCGCGAUCCGUUGGGUGCAGGUCUACGGUCCGAUGUGUAGCCCGCGAGCAAGUUUCGGCUUCGCUCUCGGACACGCGGUAAUCCGACCUGCUCGCUCGACGGUUCACCAGAUGGCGGGAGGCCGCGACUUCAGUUCGCGUCCGGCCCGCGGCAAGCUCUCCAGCUGUGUUGGCGAUCGGACCUAGCGCCGAUUCCGGCCGCUGGUGGCUGUUCGCCGCGGAGUUCUCGGACAGACCUCUUUGAAACGCCGAUCGGCGACGCUAUAGCUUUGGGUACUUUCAGGACCCGUCUUG
rnacentral:rRNA from 1 species